UACGGAGGGGGCUAGCGUUGUUCGGACUUACUGGGCGUAAAGCGCGCGUAGGCGGACUGUUAAGUCGGGGGUGAAAUCCCGGGGCUCAACCCCGGAACUGCCUUCGAUACUGGCGGUCUAGAGGUCUGGAGAGGUGAGUGGAAUUCCGAGUGUAGAGGUGAAAUUCGUAGAUAUUCGGAGGAACACCAGAGGCGAAGGCGCCUCACUGGCCAGAUUCUGACGCUGAGGUGCGAAAGCGUGGGGAGCAAACAGG
rnacentral:rRNA from 1 species